rnacentral:rRNA from 1 species
AACGCGAAGAACCUUACCUGGGCUCGAAAUGUAGUGGAAUGGGGUGGAAACAUCCCCGUCUCGCAAGAGACUGCUAUAUAGGUGCUGCAUGGCUGUCGUCAGCUCGUGUCGUGAGAUGUUGGGUUAAGUCCCGCAACGAGCGCAACCCUUAUCGUUAGUUGCCAUCGGGUCAAGCCGGGCACUCUAGCGAAACCGCCUGGGAUAACCAGGAGGAAGGUGGGGAUGACGUCAAGUCCUCAUGGCCUUUAUGUCCAGGGCUACACACGUGCUACAAUGCACGGUACAAACCGUCGCAAACCCGUGAGGGGGAGCUAAUCGGAAAAAGCCGUGCUCAGUUCGGAUUGGAGUCUGCAACCCGACUCCAUGAAGCUGGAAUCGCUAGUAAUCGCAGAUCAGAACGCUGCGGUGAAUACGUUCCCGGGCCUUGUACACACCGAUACUC